rnacentral:rRNA from 1 species
GACGAACGCUGGCGGCGUGCCUAAUACAUGCAAGUAGGACGCAGUUGCGAACGGGUGAGUAACGCGUCGGUAACUGCCUAUUAGAGGGGGAUAACUAUUGGAAACGAUAGCUAAUACCGCAUACUAGUAGAUGGACCUGCGUUGUAUUAGCUAGUAGGUAGGGUAAUGGGCUACCUAGGCGACGAUACAUAGCCGACCCGAGAGGGGGAUCGGCCACACUGGGACUGAGACACGGCCCAGAAUCCUACGGGAGGCAACAGGAGGGAAUUGUCGGCAAUGGGGGGAACCCUGACCGAGCAACGCCGCGUGAGGGAAGAAGGUUUUCGGAGCGUAAAGCUCUGUUGUUAAGGAAGCGGUACUUAACCAGAAAGGGACGGCUAACUACGUGCCAGCAGCCGCGGUAAUUC